AACCUAGCACACCUGCGGUGUGUACCUGCGGAGGGAUCAUUAAUAAAUGUUACUUCGGUAACUUAAUUAAUCCCUAACACCUGUGCAUCUUGUCGCUCCGGCGUCAUUUUAUAAACAUCAGUGUAAUGAAUGUAAAGUAUUAUAACAAAUACAACUUUCAACAAUGGAUCU
rnacentral:misc_RNA from 1 species